AGAAAUUGCCAGAUUCAGGUAAUGAAGAUUCUAUAAUCACCACACAAAUUUAUGCUCAUGUGUAAAUUGACUUUAGUAAAACAAUAAUUCAAUGCUACCCAAAUUUAGCUCAGCAUCGGUGACUGGAUUGAACAACAAUGACUACCAGAUAUCAAGGGGCCAGGUAAUGAGUUCUUGUUUCUUUGUUUUCUUUUUUUUUUAACUUUUUUGUCGGGAGUCAUAAUAUACUCCUUCAAGUGGAAAAAAAAAAUGAAACUGCCACCAUGGCGAAAUAAACAGUUGAAAUUUGAUCUUCAAUUUCAGGAACUCAACUUUUCUGUCGGUUUGAGUGAAACUUGCAACUAUGUGAAGGUAGACACGUACCCUCCAACCACCAUUUCAAUAUUCUAGGAUCAUUUCAGCAACAAAAAAAACAAAUUGCCAUGCAGGGUGACUUCAUGAACAUGCCAAUCCCUGAUUGUACCUUCGACGCAGCCUACGCCCUCGACGCGACGUGCCACGCCCCUGACGCUGUCGGUGUCUACAGUGAGAUCUUCCGAGUGUUGAAACCGGGAAAGUUGUUCGCGAUGGACGAGUGGUGCCUGACUGACAAGUAUGAUCCUGACAACGCGAGGCACCUGAGCAUCAAGGGGGAGCUCUAGCUCGGCAAUGGCUUGCCGGACAUCAGAACCACCAGGCAGUGCAUCCAGGCUCUGAAAGAUGCAGGCUUUGAGGUUAUAUUGGCGAAGGAUAUGGCAGAGGAAUCGCCGUUGCCAUGGUACCAGCCUCUUGAUCCCAGCCAGCUCUCGCUCACACACUUCCAGUUCACCCGUAUCGGCCGCUUCCUCGGUCAAACACUGUUGAAGUCGCUUGAGUUCCUCCAUCUUGCCCCGGAAGGAAGCCUGAGAAUCUGCAGAUUCCUUGCGACAUCGGUCGAUUCCCUCGUGAAGGGCGGGAAGUAAGUCGAUCAGCCCUGCCAUCCUCGAGCAAAUUUGAAGCAAUAAAGUUUGAAUUCAUGUCCAACUUGAAACAAAACAUUGCUGAUUGAAUGGUGAUUUUUUUGUUCCCAGGGAAGGGAUAUUUACACCCCUUUUCUUCGUCUUGGCUCGCAAACCUCUGCAGAAGCAGGAAGAACAAAUCUGAAAAGAGCAAGUGUGGUACUAGUAUCACCUUUACUACUACUUUUCUACUUUCAAUGGUGUGCCAAGUGUUUGUCAUAAAAUGCAAAACAGUUUGAUCAGAGUGUACUUGUCUGAACCUGCCUGUGAACAGUGUGUACAUGGAAAACAUUGGUUGUAAACUUAGUAAUUUUGUUAUGUGGAAUAAUUUCUGUAUGUACAUGAAUUCAAUAAAAAAAAUAUGUUCCAUCUUUCUCUUUUUCCAGUAAAUUCAACAUCAACAACAGGCGGAGUGUUUCAGUCAAUAGUAUUUCACCAAACCGGAAAUAGAACACUUUAAAGACUAUUAGGACUACUUUGAAUCAAAUGAUUUACGAUGGAAUUUUAAAGGAUUCAAAUCCUAUUUGGCUAUUUGACACAAAGGAUUGGAGCUGUCCAAAUCCUAUGAAAAUCCUAUAAAAUAACUCAUUGCAUGUAGAUUUUAGAAGAAACUUAGCAAGUGCUUCAACAUCAUGGAAAAUUCCUUUGAGUAUCUAUCUCUCUCAUUCGAUUGCAGUAUUUUUAUGCGGUCUAAUCAAACGACUAUUCAUGUGUUUUGCAAUCUUCUAUUUUGCACUUACAUUCCUAUUAAAAUCUUAUAUUUUUCCUACUCUGUUUUUCCGCUUCCAAUUUGAGUACAAAUGUCCAUGUUUACAUCGAAGUAAAAUACAGUUAAAACCUACGGGGCAUUGCAGAGUACCUGAAGUUCUGAACAUGAUCCGCAUAUUUCUGAAAUCAAAAAUAAAAAAACAACACCGAAACAUAAUUACGAAAGAAUUGACAAGAGAUGGAUGCAUCGAUGACAGCGAAAGAAUCAAACGGGAGUAGAUGCAUCGAUCAGAGCAAGUUCUAUAAUAGAGGUAACUACUGCCUUUAAUUUUAUCCAUAUCAUCCACCAAUAAAUUAAGAAGCAACGUAUACAGUAAUUCACCUCAAAUAUAUAAAUACCAAUGCCUCUAUUCCUCUCGUACCUUUUUUGGAGUUUAUGUGGUUGUUAACUUUCGCAUCAGAGCCUCCAUCUCAUCACCCAAUCAGAUGUGAUAUUCUUAGAGGCAACGCAUCAAACAUUACCAUUACAGUACUUGCUCUCAUGCAUCUGCAUCGCCACAGUAGCGACUCAAAUGCUAACAACACGUUGGUGUAUGAGUCCUCCCCUAGGCCAUACUGCAGAUCAAGUGAUCUUCCGAUCCCCUCAGACAUCUCUGGUACAGAUCGAAUGCUCCUUGAUGGCGGCACCUAGGAGGAAGCAACGUAGAUAAGUGACAAUGGCAGCGGCAGUGCAAAGAGAGGUGACUCACCUAAAACUGUUUAGGGGCCUAUCCAGGUGCGCUUUUAUGGGCCCAACUGAAAAAUGUUUAUGUGCCUGUAUUUUAUAUUGGUUUAAGCUCUAAAACUGUGUUUCUAAGUAGGCCCUUACCGCGGGUAGAGCAGCAUAUGCAUGAUUCCACGCCUACAGGUAUAAAAACAGCAAGAAUAAGAAUUUCAGAAAGAAAAGGAAGAAGCUUAAAGUUCAAAUAUAAAGGAUGAGAAGUACUAACAUACAUGAAAGAAGUUAGACUUUAGACUUAGGGAAUGUGAAGAAAUCGCAGCAUGUGCUUACUCAACAAGGGCAUGUUGUUGCAGUGAUGCAAUCGGUGAAUAGCUAAAUUAACAUGUAAAUAUCGAAUUGUUACAACAUUCUUGCGCUGGCAGUAUCCUAGCGACUAUUCGUACAUCAAAAACUCCAAAAUUGAAACUGGAACGAGUAUAGUUAGCUAUUUCUUUCAUGCUAUCCACUAUAAUACAGAAAUUAAUACCCUUAUGAAAUGAGAAUUUAGUGGAAAAUAACAACAUGGAGGGGUUAUUUAGAGUUUGACCUCGCCCUUAAAUUGCGCCCUCAUUAUAGGCUAGUGCAAGUUCUCUAAGAUGCUAUUGUACAAUCGAUUUUGUUUUGUUUUGGCCAGCAAACUCCGUAAACAUCUGGUAGAGAGAGGUGCGCGCUUGAAGAUGUAAGGGCCCAAAGAGGAAAAAAAUUUGGGCAAAGUCCUUUCUAGUGAAUCUGAUGCAGCGCUAUCCACGGACAAAAUGGCAGAACCGUGGUUUCAUACUCUGGGAGACCGUUGCACUCUACUGCGUCGGCCGUUCUUGCGUGGUCCUCCUCGCAGGGCCAAAAUACUACGGUAACAAAAUUGCUUAUACAAUGGCAUUUCCUCGUUAGGGACAAACCAUAAAAUCAGACGUUUAUCAUUUAUAUGCAGAAAACGGUGGCGAUAAUUCCGGCUAACCGAUAAUCGCUUCAAUAAUUCAUUCAACCAGUCCAGUAAUAAUUGUCUAAAACAUUGUUUAUUAGAACACCGGUAUAUCCAAAUCGAAUCCAAACACGGACAGGCGCCAGUUGAUUUCUGGCAUCUUUAGUACUCGACCAACAGAACGAAUCAGCUACAUGAGGAAGAAUAUCAUGUACAACCCAACAAAGUGACAAGGUGUAGGGACGUUGGCAUCACCACACCCUCACGGGAGAAGUUUCUGCACGAUCAGCGUCAGCAUCAAAAAGAUCUGUAGUUGGCACAGCUAACAGUUUCAGCACAAGCUACACCACUUCACAUUACGUUGGAGCAUCGUUCUCCUGCCGUUUUGCUUGAUCCCUGCCGUUUUUUUCUUGAUAGAUCUCUUGAGAAAUCGCACGGCAAAUAAAUGGGGGUAAAGCGUGCUAUCAUCUGCAAGCACCAUGGCCCGUACGACCGUGGAAUUG